AACAGCUCAAAUUUGAAAUCCGACCCCUGCGGGGUCCGAGUUGUAAUUUGCAGAGGAUGCUUCGGGGACGGUUCCGCUCUAAGUUCCUUGGAACAGGAUGUCGCAGAGGGUGAGAAUCCCGUAUGUGAUCGGCCACCAUGCCCGGGUGAAGCUCCUUCGACGAGUCGAGUUGUUUGGGAAUGCAGCUCCAAAUGGGUGGUAAAUUUCAUCUAAAGCUAAAUACCGGCCAGAGACCGAUAGCGCACAAGUAGAGUGAUCGAAAGAUGAAAAGCACUUUGGAAAGAGAGUCAAACAGUACGUGAAAUUGUUGAAAGGGAAGCGCUUGCGACCAGACUUGCCCGUGGGUGAUCAGCCGGUAUUCGUACCGGUGCACUCGCCCGCGGUCAGGCCAGCAUCGGUUCGGGUGGCUGGACAAAGUCCGCUGGAAUGUAGCUCCUCUCGGGGAGUGUUAUAGCCAGCGGUGCCAUGCAGCCCGCCCGGGCCGAGGACCGCGCUUCGGCUAGGAUGCUGGCGUAAUGGUCGCAAGCGACCCGUCUUGAAACACGGACCAAGGAGUCUAACAUCUAUGCGAGUGUUUGGGUGUCAGACCCAUGCGCGUAAUGAAAGUGAACGCAGGUGGCAACCCUCCACGGGUGCACCAUCGACCGAUCCUGAUGUCUUCGGAUGGAUUUGAGUACGAGCAUAGCUGUUGGGACCCGAAAGAUGGUGAACUAUGCCUGAAUAGGGUGAAGCCAGAGGAAACUCUGGUGGAGGCUCGCAGCGGUUCUGACGUGCAAAUCGAUCGUCAAAUUUGGGUAUAGGGGCGAAAGACUAAUCGAACCAUCUAGUAGCUGGUUCCUGCCGAAGUUUCCCUCAGGAUAGCAGUAACGUUUUCAGUUUUAUGAGGUAAAGCGAAUGAUUAGAGGCCUGGGGGUUGCAAUAACCUUCACCUAUUCUCAAACUUUAAAUAUGUAAGAAGUCCUUGUUACUUGGUUGAACGUGGACAUUUGAAUGUACCGUUACUAGUGGGCCAUUUUUGGUAAGCAGAACUGGCGAUGCGGGAUGAACCGAACGUGAGGUUAAGGUGCCGGAAUGUACGCUCAUCAGACACCACAAAAGGUGUUGAUUCAUCUAGACAGCCGGACGGUGGCCAUGGAAGUCGGAAUCCGCCAAGGAGUGUGUAACAACUCACCGGCCGAAUGAAUCAGCCCUGAAAAUGGAUGGCGCUCAAGCGUGCUACCCAUACCUCACCGCCA
rnacentral:rRNA from 1 species